rnacentral:lncRNA from 1 species
GGACGUUUAAAAAAUAAAAAAAUUAACAAGAAAUUGCUGGGUGCUCCCAAGCACAAAGAAAUAGAACCCAUCAUGGAAAUGAACUAGGAAAAUCUUGAUCUGGAAUUUUCAUCAGUUUAUAGACAAUAUGGCGAAACUUGAACCAUAUGAAGAUGAUGAAUCGAGAUCAAAGCGUCAAACAAAGAGAAAUACGGCUGCAAAGAGGAACCACGGAUCCACCAAUUUCUUUGUUUUUGUGGAUUACCUUUUUCUCUGCAUCUUCUUCUGUUUCCUCCUCUUCGUUCUCCGGUUUUUAAUCCAGAAAGGUAAACGUUUAACGACCCAUUUUCUCAUUAUUUACGAAUCUAAUAAUAUUGUACUGAAUUUGCCCAUUUUUAAUCAAUGGCGAAUUUUGCAGUUAUAUAUCAUAUUCCUCUGUGUGUGUAUGUAUAUGCCCCUGUUUGUUGUUUGCCUCUUGAUGUGUAUAAGAUUCAAUUAAAGGGAAAAACAGAAGGGAGCCAAUUUACUGACCCUUUUGAGGGAUAUUUUAUAAUUAUGUUAGGGGCAAAGUCAUAGUUCUGUCUUACAAGAAUGAAUCAUGUUAAAAACUUAUAUGCUUUAAAUUGCUUAUACAGAUUCAGAUAUGUAAGUUUUAUUAUGAUUUUGACGACAUAUUAUCUGUUUUGUGGUUAGCUGUUUUGUAAUUAAGCUUCAUAGUUGUGUUGCCAAGGCUAUGUGCCUCUGCUUCUUAUUAGGCUAAAUCUAAUUUUUUAUGCUGCUAAGAUGCUUGGUUAAGAGAGACGUUGGAGGGUGCUGGUCUAAGUUUCAGAUAAAGUGAAUGUGAAAUUUUAGAACUUGGAGAUUUUGGUGAAGAAGGCAUUGAUUUUUCACACAAAUGCUUUAUAAUUUUGCAUAAAAUGCGAUGUGCUACAUUUUAGGUUGUGGACCCGAGUUUCUGAAUUCUAUAAUUUUGAGAUUUGGUGAAGGCGGAACUGAUUUUGGCGUACUGUCUCAUUUUUCAUAAAAUUCGUGAACUAAUAUUUGGAUAUUGUGAUGUGCUAAAAUUUCUCUUGAUAAGUUUGCCAAUCGGACAAAAAAAAAAAACUUAUGCAUUUUCAGUAUAAUAAUUUCGUAAUUCAAAGCUGAUGCGCGAGGAUGUAUACUCUUUCGAGAUGGAGUAUGCCAUGAGGUCUAGAGUUUGUGAAGGGUCAAUUGCUUGAGUAGAUUAUUUUACACAACAUAUUCUUUUGGUUGUUGUUGGUUGAUUUGAAGGUACAAUUCAUAGGCAGUUCUCACACAACAUUCUUUGUUACCACCGUAGGUGAUAGGUCAAAAAUGUUUUGUUCCAGUUGCAUUCACGCCUAAACUAUCAGUAUAAGCACCAACCAUAAGAAAAAGUCACAAUACUUGUAUUGAAGUCAACAUUUUAAAUAUGUCUUGUUAAUCUUGACUGAACAGAUUUUAUAUGUUCUCCCAAUUCCAACAAUACAUCAUUGGAAUGUUCUACCUUGGUUGGUUGUAUGUUUUACAUUCAUUUGUUCUAAGAUGCUAAAACCAUUGUAAUACUAUGCCUGAACAUUUUAAAAAUGGUUGGACUCAAUUGACCUUGCAUAUAUGCUUGACACUGAAUUUUAAAUGAAGCUGGACGGGAAACUAUAAAAAAAUAAGUACAAAACACGGUGAAUCCUGAUCCAAUAAUGUAAAGUAAUCAUCUAAAAUUCUCAUCUGGGGUUAUGUUUUCUUGCAAAUUCUCCAGGGCAAUGAUAUGGAGCACUGGAUUCAAGUUCAAGUCCUCGACUGUUUUACAGGCAUGGCAUGGACAGAUCCAGAAGUUGCAAAUGUAGAAACUGAUGUUCGCCUUGGCUCAAACUGACUGAUUGCCUUGGUGACCGUAACUUCUCUUUCUCUUUUUUUGUAGAAGCGUCACUUAUGUAUUUCCUUUGUUAUUCUUUCAUGUGAUAUAUUUAUCGAAUUGUUUGAUGCUCGAGUCCUUUUUCUUAAAUCCCAUGUGCAUUUUUGUUGUUUGACAUUGGAUCAUGUUUUUGGAAAGUUUGUAGGAAUUAUAUUUUUGUAAUCAAUGCCAUGUUCGAUGGUUUAAGUAAUGCACGACGUAUAAGAUUUUUCUUACUAAAAAGAUAAUAGGUGAUUUUGUACUCCUGUUUGAUUGUGGGUAGAGAAUGACUCUACGUCUGCUUUCUUGCCCUGUAAGACUGCUUUUUGUGUGAAAACAGAAUGUAGGAGAUGCGAACUGCU